GAAUCCAGCCCACUAACCGGCCCGAUAGAAAAGAAAACAACUCCAUCCUGCCUCCCCCGAACCACCCACUUCCCGAUCCCAUCUCGCCACCGUCGCCACCCCUUCCCCCGCCGCCGUGCGCCUUCACCCCUCGCGCCGCCGCCGGCCUCCCCCGUUCCAGCGCGCCGCGGCCGGCCUCCCCCGUUCCAGCGCGCCGCCGCGGGCCUCCCCGUUCCAGCGCGCCGCCGCGGGCUUCCCCCUUCCAGCGCGCCGCCGCGGGACUGCCCCCUUCCAGGGCGCCACCGCCGCCCCCUGGCUUCAAUCUGCCGCCGUCGGAUCCCCCGGCUUCCACAUGCCGCCGUCGUCCCCCUGGCUUCACCUGCCGCCGUGGCGUCCCCGCUUCCACCAACCGUCGUCGGGGGUCACCCCCGACACCUCCACCGUCGCCACACGUGACGCGCCUCCUCCCAAGGACGCGGUCGCCUCCCCGCGCCUCCUGCCGGCGACGCGACCACUCCUCCCGGCAAUGCGCCAUGUGUGGCCCAUGUUCCGGCGUCGCCCUCCGGGGCCUCAGCGCGCAGGCCGUUCAACUCCGCCACCAGAGGCCGUUCACCUCUGCCACCUGAGGCCAUUCACCACCACCAGUCCCCGUCCAAGGCCGCCCCGAUGACCCACCCGUGCGUUAACGCCCCUGUCAACCCCGUGGAAUUUUGUUUCUCUCAGCUUCAAAAAGAGGUUGCAGCAAAAACAAGAUGCACAAGUUCAUCUUUUGUAUGCUUUUCAGUACAUCUACUUCCCAAUCGUGAGUCUGAUUUCCUUUGUGUUUCCAUCUUCUUCAUAUAGCACAAACAAGUCCUUGUGGUUAUGCUUGAGAAUGAGCACCAUACUGUCACUUGGUUAAUCAAUUUUGUAGAAAGUUCUCGGGGAUUUCUUUAUGUAGAGUUGUUGCUAACUUCAUAAUUAUACAGAUCAUGCAUUCUAUCCAAUGAGCCAUCAAUUAAAGCAAUUUCCAAUAUAGAGAGGGAAAUAUACAAGAUUGCCAACUAAUAUAUACUCCCUCUGUAAACUAAUAGAUUCCCAACUACUCCCUCUGUAAACUAAUAUAAGAGUGUUUAGAUCACUAAAGUAGUGAUCUAAACGCUCUUAUAUUAGUUUACGGAGGGAAUAAUAAUUAUAUUUCUUUACGGAGGGAGUAGUAAUGCUCUGCUUAGCACAUUGCUUGUAGUUGUAGCAGUUACCUUUCUUUUGGAGUUAGGUAAUUAAUAAAUAAUCAAGAGGGAUGGUGCACCGUCACGACCGCUUGCCACCCCCACAGCUGCUACAAAUUCUUGUGUGCGUCGCUGUUCCCUACUCCAGCGUGUGUCACCAGCGUCGUGACCUCCCCCAGCCAGCCCCCACGACUUGCCUCGAUGGUGCCCCCAAGUCUCUCUAGAACCACCAUGAUGAAUAGAAAUCCAUCCAACUAUUCACUCACGGUCUCAUGAUCAUUUUCUUGUAUAAGUGUGCCUUUUCUGCUGUAUUCUCCUUCUUAUUACUUGUCAAAAUUUAGUUUGAAUCCGCUACAAUUUCCAUGAGUGGAUUUUUUUUUUCAAAACGGAAUUUCCAUGAUUGAAUUUAAAAAUCAACAAACGUAAAGUUUUAAAAUGCAUACAACAACUACAAAAUAUAAUUUAGUUCAGUCCAGUUUGUAAUGCUGCUCCACCUUCCGGUCAUUGACGAGGCCCUGGGCAGGCGCUUCCUCCUCCUCUCAGGUCUGCCUCACUCUAACACUCUCAGUUCAAAUUUGCUAAUAUCUACAGUACUGGUUGGGGAAUUUUGGUAGUUCAUUUUCCUAAUAUCUACACGCUGGCCCUUCCUGCAGGAACCGACCCAACCACUGCCGCCAUGGCACGGCGCCUCCACCUCUCGGCGAAGGACCACCACCUCCCCGACGACGUGCCCAACCCCGAUGAGGCCCGCCGGCCCUGGAGUUCCUGCCGCGACGCCUCGACCUCCUGUUCAGCCAUGGAUUCUUGCCAUCAUCCACGUCAUCAGGAACACGAUUGAUGAGCAGUAAAAGAUACAAGUUGCAGUUCCAGGGCAACCUAUCUCAGAUCCUUUUCAGGUUCAGGUAAUACAUGUUUGGUAUUCUUAUAUACUUGCAUCAGUUCAGACUCACGGAUACAAUAAGUUGAGGGAAAACCCAUACAAAAGUUCAAAGUUGAGAAACAGGGGUUCUUUGUUUCAAUGUUCGCUAGUGUAUGCAGAUUGGGUUUGCAUGCAUUUCAUAGUUGGAUGGCUACUGAUCUCUAUAAAACCUUGGAAGCAGUGCUUGCAUUACUAGUCCAACCAUACUAGGGCCGGGGGAGAAGGCAGAACCUCUGGGUGCAUGAUGGAAACCAUGAUGCAUGGUAGAACAGACCUCGAAUCUGAGUUCUUCAUGGAGUAUGGUGAAAUAAACCGGUAUCAGGUUGGUGGUGAUUAAGGCCGCUACGUCAGUCCAAUCCCACCUCCCAGAAAGGUCACCGCCGCUACAUCAUCUCGCAAACCGAGCCCCCCGGUGCUGCAUCUUGUCGAGCUCACUGCCUUGCUGUGGUUCCAGUGGGGGACGGGCGGGCUCAUACACAGGAGGAUGGAUGCCCUGGUCUGGUACGACCAGGAUGGUAUCGGUGCUCCGGCCAACUCCAUCGAUCUGCUCAAGAUGGUUCAUGGACCUGCUCCCGCUGGCAUCGCGGACGCUGGCCGGUGGUGGAUCUUGAGCACCGCCUCUGGUCCCCUGUGCUCCGACGAUCGUGGCUGCCACCAGCAUGCGUGUGUCGUCGGUCCUCCGAGGCACCUCUCGCUUUGUGUUGUCCAUAGCCGCCCACACAUGCUGCCCCGAUUUCUACCUCACCUCCAAGCUUGAUGGACUGCUAUUAUUGGUUGGUGUUUCAUGAAUGCACCGAUGAAGCAUCAUGUGAGCUGAAGGUUUUGUUCCCUACAUCUGUUUGUGAAAUUCCUACAAGAACUAAUGAUGUGAUUAAUGUUCCAAACACAGAAUCUAAGUGGUUUUUCAUAUAGCUACAUCUAAUGAACUGCAGAUCACUUUUGAUGUGCCUACUGGUGCGUGCGUGUGUGUUGUGGGCUUGUCGCGUGCAUCCGCUGGUGGGUGCAUGGGUGCCUCCUGCUGGCAAAAACAUACACUCUGUACAAAAGAACGUUAAAACAUACACCCAGAAAUACAUGAUGUUCUAGAUGUAUUCUGGGUGGUCCGGCACCGCUGCGUCUAGCGGUCCAACCUCGCCGCCCGAGGCCGUUCACCGUCGCUUCAUUCUUGUUUUUAGUUCAGUCAGUCUCUUAUUUUAUUUUCCUUCAAUUUCUAAUUUUACUAAAGUUUAAUUUCUAAUUCCAAACAGUUUGUGUAAAUUCCCAUCGAGCAGGUCUGACUUAUUGUUUCUCUAAAGCGGCCAAAUCCCGGCGAACCUCUCCUCCAGCUCCACUUCGAGGCGCCGUCAGUCCACAGGAGCAUGGGCGGUGUGCUCAUCACCAAAAAAGAGUGCUUGGAAACUUAAAAUUCUGUACACAUUCGGGAAACAGAAGUUGUAGCUUCUUUCAAAGUUCAAAACAAAAAAUAUAUUCAGUUCAACUUGUUCUAGCAAACCAUGUGCGAGACACCAUAGAAUGAAAAUGUUGUUGCGUUGCCAGGUCUCCAAUUGGUUCAACUACAGAUAAGUUACAUCCGUUCGACUACAUAUAUUACACUAGUUCAACUGAGUGCGUCACACCAAUUGACCUAAGUUUUACAUAUGUAUUUAGAAAAAACUGUAGAUUUUGAUGAUGCAAGCUUAGUUCCUUUUUCUAUUUCCUAUAAGUUCAAGUGAUCAAUUGCUAUAUAUUUGGUGGGUUGUUUACUCAUACAGUUAAAAAAAGUGAAUUAUGUUCAUGGCCAGCGAGAUGCUCAUCAUUUGCCACAUCCAUCUCUACUGAAUUAUGUUCAUCUCUUUCAGUUCAUCUUUGAAAUUUUGGUCCAUUUUCUGUCCGUGUGGCUUGACGUGCAGCCCGCCGGCUCAGUCGUGUACGUCCAGACAAGACACUAUGGUGCAAUUUAAUGCAUGAAUAUGUGUUUGAGAGUGGAUGAACCCAUACCUGAAGGCUCUGGGCUCCCGACUAUAGCAACGGUGUCAAAUUCGCCAUGGCCGGCUCAACGGUGUCCCGCGGCGUCUCCCAAUUCCCUGAACAUCCAGCUCGAUCCGUUCGUCUACUACAAGCGCAGAUCCCUAGAGCUCUAAAAUUCUGUAUCAGGGUAAUUUUUUCAUCAGUUCUAAAAUUCCCAGAGCAUCAGUCCAACAACGUACCGGGGUAUACUGUGUUGCUCCUGCAAUUUUUUGUAUGCUUGUAUGUACAAAAAAUAUGGUACAGUUACUGCUUUGAUGUGUCGUGGUGCGAAUGUUGUUGAUGUUCAAAGUUUGUGAAGAGAAAGACUUCAAAAACUCGUGUCGCCAAUGGAAUGAAUUACUAGAAGUUCAAAUUUGCUAAUAAA